rnacentral:rRNA from 1 species
UACGUAGGGCGCGAGCGUUGUCCGGAUUUAUUGGGCGUAAAGAGCUCGUAGGCGGCUUGUCGCGUCGACCGUGAAAACUUGGGGCUCAACCCCAAGCCUGCGGUCGAUACGGGCAGGCUAGAGUUCGGUAGGGGAGACUGGAAUUCCUGGUGUAGCGGUGAAAUGCGCGGAUAUCAGGAGGAACACCGGUGGCGAAGGCGGGUCUCUGGGCCGAUACUGACGCUGAGGAGCGAAAGCGUGGGGAGCGAACAGG